AGUUUGUAUUAUUUAUAAGAGUAUAGCUGGCGAUCAUGCCCUGUCCAUCCCAUCCUAUCGUCAGGGUUGAAAAUGAAUAAUUCCUUUUAGGUAAACGGUUAUCGUUACAAAAGGAAUAAGUCAGAGUCGCAGCAAGUAAACCCCUCUUGCCAUGUUAUUUCAUCAUGCACAAACGUCAAUGUUUCAGGGAUUGUACUCUGUUACUUUUUAAAAAACCACUCGUACAGAUCGUAAUACUUUAUAAGCGUAAAAUGAAUUAUUAAACGAAUAAAAGAAUAAACACAAGGCGUACUUAUAACAAAAUUAAAGUGGUAAUAUUCGAAGGUAACCAUUAUCGAUAUUUUCACAAAAUGAAAAAUUGAAGACGAAAAAAUACAUAUAAUACUUGUAAAAUAAGAAUUUGUACGUCUUUGUAAUAAAAAUGACUGAAAAUGAAAAACGUUGGGCCACAGACGCUACAAA